rnacentral:lncRNA from 1 species
UUUUUUUGUUGGAGGGAUAUAUUUGUGAUGGUAAAAUUAAUAUUUCACUUAUCUACUAUUAAAAUAUAAAUAGUUCUCUAACAGUAACAAACUAGAGGGACAUAUUUGAAAAUAUUAGAAUAUUUGUAGGAACAACAUAUAAAAGUUGAGCUUUGUAAAGAUAUAUUUGUAAUUUACUAUGUUUGCAAUUAACUCUUUCUUUUAAUACUUAAACUUAUACUUAUUCCUGCAAUAGCUAGUUUUUGCUAAUACCUGAACCAAACGGAGCCUUAAGGGUCAUACGUGCACCUUUAUAAUGAAUUAAUUAGG